rnacentral:misc_RNA from 1 species
GAUGAAGAACGCAGCGAAAUGCGAUAAGUAGUGUGAAUUGCAGAAUUCAGUGAAUCAUCGAAUCUUUGAACGCACAUUGCGCCCCUUGGUAUUCCAUGGGGCAUGCCUGUUCGAGCGUCAUUUGUACCUUCAAGCUCUGCUUGGUGUUGGGUGUUUGUCUCGCCUCUGCGCGUAGACUCGCCUCAAAACAAUUGGCAGCCGGCGUAUUGAUUUCGGAGCGCAGUACAUCUUGCGCUUUGCACUCAUAACGACGACGUCCAAAAGUACAUUUUUACACUCUUGACCUCGGAUCAGGUAGGGAUACCCGCUGAACUUAAGCAUAUCAAUAAGCGGAGGA